rnacentral:misc_RNA from 1 species
AGUCAUCAACCUCUCCCGUUUUGCGACGGGUCCAGGUUGGAGCCUGGGGGCUUGCGGCCGCGAGGCUGCUCCCCUCAAAUGCAUCGGUUGGGCCUGCGGGUCGGACUCGGUUGGGCGUUGUACCAUCCUCGCUCUUAUUCCGAGAUGUUCCCCUAUUAAUGUGCCCUCCCACGACCGCCCCGUCUGGAGUCGGCGGUCAAAGCUUUUGAAGCACUUUGAA